CCUACGGGAGGCAGCAGUGAGGAAUAUUGGUCAAUGGACGCAAGUCUGAACCAGCCAUGCCGCGUGCAGGAUGACGGUCCUAUGGAUUGUAAACUGCUUUUGUACGAGAAGAAACACUCCUUCGUGAAGGAGCUUGACGGUAUCGUAAGAAUAAGGAUCGGCUAACUCCGUGCCAGCACCGCGGUAA
rnacentral:rRNA from 1 species